UGGGAGGUGUUCACACAGGGUAGAUCUGUC
rnacentral:piRNA from 1 species